rnacentral:rRNA from 1 species
CUGAUGCAGCCAUGCCGCGUGUAUGAAGAAGGCCUUCGGGUUGUAAAGUACUUCAGUUGUGAGGAAGGGGGUGUAGUUAAUAGCUGCAUCUCUUGACGUUAGCAACAGAAGAAGCACCGGCUAACUCCGUGCCAGCAGCCGCGGUAAUACGGAGGGUGCGAGCGUUAAUCGGAAUUACUGGGCGUAAAGCGCAUGCAGGUGGUUCAUUAAGUCAGAUGUGAAAGCCCGGGGCUCAACCUCGGAACUGCAUUUGAAACUGGUGAACUAGAGUACUGUAGAGGGGGGUAGAAUUUCAGGUGUAGCGGUGAAAUGCGUAGAGAUCUGAAGGAAUACCAGUGGCGAAGGCGGCCCCCUGGACAGAUACUGACACUCAGAUGCGAAAGCGUGGGGAGCAAACAGGAUUAGAUACCCUGGUAGUCCACGCCGUAAACGAUGUCUACUUGGAGGUUGUGGCCUUGAGCCGUGGCUUUCGGAGCUAACGCGUUAAGUAGACCGCCUGGG